rnacentral:rRNA from 1 species
UACGUAGGGGGCUAGCGUUGUCCGGAUUUAUUGGGCGUAAAGAGCGUGUAGGCGGCCACACAGGUCCGCUGUGAAAACUCGAGGCUCAACCUCGAGCUGUCGGUGGAAACCGUGUGGCUAGAGUCCGGAAGAGGAGAGUGGAAUUCCCGGUGUAGCGGUGAAAUGCGCAGAUAUCGGGAAGAACACCCGUGGCGAAGGCGGCUCUCUGGGACGGUACUGACGCUGAGACGCGAAAGCGUGGGGAGCGAACAGG